CUUCUACGUUCAGUUACCUUAGAUAGUUAGUGUUCGGUUUGUGUAGUCAUUAUCGUAUCCUUGAGAUCUUCAAUAAUGUGUCACAUCAGACCUUAUGAAAAGUAGUUAAGUCUGGUUAGGGUUACUUUUAUUAACGUGUGUAGGGGUAAGACUGAGUGUCCGUCGAUAUAGUAAAGAUCUGUCUUUGUAUGAUCGUUUCAGCGUUGUGAAUUGGGUAACUGGACUUUGUGUAAUUAAACAAAAAACAGCAAACUUAAAUUAACUGAAUUAACAAAGUGCUGGAUUGCCCCUUUGCCCUCGCAUCCUCCCUUUUUAGUCAAGGAUGCUUCUAGUUUUAGGAACCUUAAAUGAUUAACAAGAUGUUACUUGUAAAAAGUCUCGAUCCGCCAUUACCUCUGUCGAGAACCACGCUGUGUACUCAACACUUUGCCUUUAAAGAUUUCAUCUAAAGCAGGGGUAGGCAACCUUUUAGCAGCACUGUGCUGAUAUAGGAUUGUGAUGUCCUGUAGCGUGCUGAUCCUAUUAUUUUUAAAUUGAG